CUGGGUCCUGAUGGAAUUGCAAAGAAAACUGUGUCAGCAGUAAGAGAAGCCAAAGACAAUGUAGUGAGCUCAGGCUGGAGACACCUGUGGGAAGGAGCUAGCAACCCUUGUGAGACAACAGGGAAGCAGAGGCUGUAAGAAACCAAGGAGAGAAGCAGGAAAACUACAAGUAACGCUGCCACCAGCGUGCUGAGGUUAUCUCUUAGGACAACCUCCACGCCUCUAAUGCCACCUAGCAGCAAUAGCUUCUGCCCCUUGCUCAGAACGGCACGGGCUACCUCCGAAAGGAGGGAUGCUUCUCGCAGUUCCUAGAAGCUCCCAGCGCACAGCUCGCUGCUGGGCACUGCGGAAAUGAAUCAUCGCAUCUGGCUCCCCCAGCCUGUCAGCUGCCUUCUCCUCGCCCCCAAGCUCUGGGUGUUUUCCUCACCCAGGGAAAAAGGCGAUCCCCGCUGAUGGCAGCAGGCUGCAGCACAGCCCGGGCCUGGCUCGCAGGAGCCUUUGUCUGCCGCUAUGGCCAGCAGACCGUGAGGCAGCGCUGCGGGAGCGAUCCCUGCCCCUGCCGCUGCCGCUGCCGCUGCCGUGGCCAUCAGCGAGGACGCAGUCAGCCUGAGCUGCCUGCAUCUCAAACCGAGCUCCGCAGCACAGCGGCAGCGGGGAAGCAGAGGGUGGCCAGACCCACCAGGCAAUGAAGUCUGCCCGGCAUGCUCCAUCCCCUGUUUUGUGCCUCUUCUCUCCUGUCAGCUGCCAAAGGCAUCGCUGCCAAGCCCCAGAAGAGACCUCCAGCCAGCCAGGAGGCACGGCAGAGGCAGGGGAGCAGCCUCAGCCCCUGUGUC